rnacentral:lncRNA from 1 species
UUACCGUCCGCGUCCAUCUUCUUCUUAAAGAUCCAUUUGUUCUGAAUAGCCUUGCGGCAUUCAGGUAAUACUUUCAAAGUCCAUGCCAUCUCCCUCUCUCUCCCUCUCCCUCUCCCUCUCUCUCUCCCUCUCCCUCUCCCUCUCCCUCUCCGCCUCUCCCUCUCCCUCUCUCCCUCUCCCUCUCCCUCUCUCUCCCUCUCCCUCUCCCCCUCUCCCUCNCUCUCCCUCCCUCCCUCCCUCCCCCUCUCUCUCUCUCUCUUCUCUCUCUCCCCCUCUCUCCCUCUCCCUCUCCCUCUCCAUUGUGUUUUCAUACAUAGAUCCUAUCUCAUACUUCUUGGCCUCCAGCCAUUUUUUGGAAUCCGGGCCCACCAUUGCUUCUUCAUAACUUGCAGGUUCAUUGUUGUCUAACAACAUGAUUGAUAAGACAGGAUUACCGUACCACUCAGGAGUAGUACGUGAUCUUGUCGACCUGCGAGGUACGUCAGUAACUUGAUCUGAAACUUCAUGAUCAUCAUCAUUAAUUUCCUCCUCAACUGGCGUCGCUUCGACAGAGGUUUCCCCUUGCCCUACUCCACCAUCUAGAGGGAGUAGAGGUUCGACGACCUCAUCAAGUUCUAUCUUCCUCCCACUCAAUUCUUUCGAGAGAAACUCCUUCUCAAGAAAAGCUUCGUUCUUAGCAACAAACACUUUUCCCUCGGAUUUGAGAUAGAAGGUGUACCCAACUGUCUCCUUUGGGUAACCUAUGAAGAUGCACUCUUCCGCUUUGGGUUCCAGCUUUUCAGGCUGAAGCUUUUUGACAUAAGCAUCACAUCCCCAAACUUUAAGAAACGACAACUUUGGCCUCUUGCCAUGCCACGGCUUGUAUGGUGUCGUUUCAACGGAUUUUGAUGGUGCCCUAUUUAAAGUGAAUGCAGCUGUCUCUAAUGCAUAACCCCAAAACGAUGACGACAAAUCGGUAAGAAACAUCAUAGAUCGCACCAUUUCUAACAAAGUACGAUUACGACGUUCGGACACACCAUUACGGUGUGGUGUUCCAGGCGGUGUUAACUGUGAAAUGAUUCCACAUUGUCUCAAGUGAGCACCAAACUCGAAACUCAGAUACUCACCCCACGAUCAGAAUGUAGGAACUUGAUCUUCUUGUUACGAUGAUUUUCAACUUCACUCUGAAAUUGCUUGAACUUCUCAAACAUUUUAGACGUGUGCUUCAUCAAGUAGAUAUAUCCAUACCUACUCAAAUUGUCCGUGAAGGUGAGAAAAUAACGAUAUCUGCCACGCGCCUCCACACUCAUCUGACCGCACACAUCGGUAUGUAUGAUCUCCAACAAGUCACUUGCACGUCCAUUGUUUCGAAGAACGCAUCUUAGUCAUCUUGCCCAUGAGGCAUGGUUCGCACGUGUCAAGUGAGUCAAAAUCAAGUGACUCCAAAAGCCCAUCGGAAUAGAGUUUCUUCAUGCGCUUUACUCCAAUAUGACCUAAGCGGCAGUGCCACAAAAAACGUGGCGCUAUCAUUGUUAACUCUAUAUCUUUUGGUCUCAAUGUUAUGUAUAUGUGUAUCAUCACAAUCAAGAUUCAAUACGAAUAAUCCUCUCAUAUUGGGUGCAUGAACAUAAAAGAUAUUACUCAUAGAAAUAGAACAACCACUAUUCUCUGACUUAAAUGAGUAACCGUCUCGCAAUAAACAAGAUCCAGAUAUAAUGUUCAUGCUUAGCGCAGGCACUACAUAACAAUUAUUUAAGUUCAUAACUAAUCGUGAUGGUAACUGAAGUGAGACUGUGCCGACGGUGAUUGCAUCAACCUUGGAACCAUUUCCCACGCGCAUCGUCACUUCAUCCUUUGCGAGCCUUCGUUUAUUCCGGAGUUCCUGCUUCGAGUUGCAAAUAUGAGAAACAGAACUGGUAUCAAAUACCCAGGCACUACUACGAGAGUUGGUUAAGUACACAUCAAUAACAUGUAUAUCACAUAUACCUGAUUUUUCUUUGGCCGCCUUCUUAUCAGCCAAAUACUUGGGGGCAGUUGCGCUUCCAGUGACCCAUCCCCUUGCAAUAAUAACACUCAGUUUCUGUCUUAGGUCCAGCCUUGGGUUUCUUCGUCGGAUUGGCAACAAGUUUGCCCCUCUUCUUGGAGUUACCCUUCUUGCCUUUGCCGUUUCUCUUGAAACCAGUGGUCUUAUUGACCAUCAACACUUGAUGCUCUUUCCGAAGUUCUAACUCUGCGACUUUCAGCAUCGCAAAUAACUUGCCGGGUGACUUGUUCUUCCCUUGCAUGUUAUAGUUCAACACGAAGCUCUUAUAGCUAGGUGGCAGUGAUUGAAUAAUUCUUUCAGUGAUAGCCUCUUGCGGGAGUUCAAUCCCUAGCUCAGGUAAACGGUUUGAGUACCCAGACAUUUUAAGCACAUGUUCACUGACAGACGAAUUCUCCUCCAUCUUGCAAGCAUAUAAUUUAUCACAGGUCUCAUAUCUCUCGACCUGGGCGUUCUUCUGAAAGAUAAACCUCAACUCCUGGAACAUCUCAUAUGCUCCAUGACGCUCAAUGCGACGUUGAAGCCCCGGUUCUAAGCCAUACAAGACUGCACAUUGAACUACUGAGUAGUCCUCCUUACGCUAUUGCCAAGCGUUCAAAACAUAUUGGUCAGACGUAGCGGGUGGUUCAUCUCCUAACACAGCAUCAAGGACAUAAUUCUUUUUUCCAGCUUGUAGGAUGAGCCUAAGAUUACGAGCCCAGUCGACAAAGUUGCUUCCAUCAUCUUUCAACUUAGCUUUCUCUAGGAACGUAUUGAAAUUCAGGGUUGCUACUGCGUGAGCCAUUGAUUUACAACAUAAAAUAUUGCAAAGUGGACUUAGACUAUGUUCAAGACAAUUAGAGUUUAACUAAUCAAAUUAUUAAUGAACACCCACUCAAAAAAUACAUCCCUCGUGUCGUUUGAGUGGUGCAUGAUCCAAAUUUACUAUCUCAAGUCCGAUCAUCACGUGAGUUGAGUAUAGCUUUAGUGGUAAACAUCUCUAUGCUAAUCAUAUCAACUACAUGAUUCAUGCUUGACCUUUCGGUUUCAUGUGUUCCGAGGCCAUGUCUGCACAUGCUAGGCUCGUCAAGUUUAACCCGAGUGUUCCGUGUGUGCAACUGUUUUGCACCCGUUGUAUGUGAACGUUGAUUCUAUCACACCCGAUGAUCACGUGGUGUCUCGAAAUGAUGAACUGUCGCAACGGUGCACAGUCGGGGAGAACACAAUUUCAACUUGAAAUUUUAGUGAGGGAUCACCUUAUAAUGCUACCGUCGUUCUAAGCAAAAUAAGGUGCAUAAAAGGAUUAACAUCACAUGCAAUUCAUAAGUGACAUGAUAUGGCCAUGAUCUUGUGCUUAUUGAUCUCCAUCACCAAAGGACCGGCAUGAUCUUCUUGUCACCGACACCACAACAUGAUCUCCAUCAUCAUGAUGUCCAUCAUCGUGCCGCCAUUGAGGUUGCCGUGCUAUCUAUGCUAUUACUACUAAAGCUACAACCUAGCAAUAUAGUAAACACAUCUGCAAACACAAACGUUAGUUUAAAGACAACCCUAUGGCUCCUGCCGGUUGCCGUAGCAUCGACGUGCAAGUCGAUAUUAACUAUUACAACAUGAUCAUCUCAUACAUCCAAUAUAUCACAUCAUGUCUUUGGCCAUAUCACAUCACAAGCAUACCCUGCAAAAACAAGUUAGACGUCCUCUAAUUUGUUGUCGCAUGUUUUACGUGGUUGCUAUGGGUAUCUAGUAUGAUCGCAUCUUACUUACGCAAAAACCACAACAGAGAUGUGCAAAUUGCUAUUUAAACUCUCUCCAAGGACUGCCUCGGUCAAAUCCAAUUCAACUAAAGUUGAAGAAACACGCACCCGCCAGUCAUCUUUAUGAAACGAGUUGCAUGUUGGUCGAUAAAACUAGUCUCUCGUAAGUGUACGAGUAAUGUCGAUCCGGGCCGCUUCAAUCCAACAAUACCGCCGAAUCGAGAAAAUACGAAGGAGGGCAGAAAAUCAAACAUCAACGCCCACAAAACCUUUUGUCUUCUACUCGAGAGACAUCUAUGCAUGAACCUAGUUCAUGAUGCCACUGAUGGGGAACGUUGCAUGGGAAACAAAAAAAAAUCCUACGCACACGAAGACCUAUCAUGGUGAUGUUCAUCUACGAGAGGAGAUGAGAUCCACAUACCCUUGUAGAUCGCUAAGCGAGAAGCGUUAAGAAAUGGAGUUGAUGUAGUGGUACAGCUUCGUGAUUCAAAUCACCGUCGUCCCACGAUCCGUUCCGAUCUAGCGCCGAACGGACGACACCUCCACGUUCAGCACACGUACAGCUCGGUGACGAUCUCAGCCUUCUUGGUCCAGCAAGAGAGACGGAGAACUAGAUUAGUUCUCCGGCAUCAUGACGGCGUGCCGGUGGUGGUGAUGAUGUACUCCUGCAGGGCUCCGCCCGAGCACCGCACAAAUCCGAUCUAGAGGAAGAACUACGUGGUAUAGGUUUGAGUUUCCCUUGGCAAAGUUGUGUCUCAAAAGCCCUAAAACCACCAAUAUAUAUAGGAGGAGGGGAGGGGAUAGUCUUGGGGCUCAAGGGAUCCCCAAAGGCACCGGCCGAUUGGGAGGAGGUGGAUUCACUCCCCAAUUCUGUUUGGGGGAAGGAGUCCACUCCUUCCUUCCCACCUCCCUCUUUCCUUGUUUUUUCUUUUCCUUUGGUUUUUUCCACUUGUGGCGCCAUAGCCCUCUUGGGCUGGCCUCACCAGCCCACUAAGGGCUGGUGCGCCACCCUAGGGUCACUGGGCUCACUCCUGGGUGGGUGGGCCUCUCCCGGUGAAUACCCGAAACCCAUUCGUCACUCCCGGUACACUACUGGUAAUGCCCGAAAACUUUCCCGUGACCAAAUGAAACCAUCCUAUAUAUCAAUCUUAAUUUCCAUACCAUUACGGAAACCCUUGUGACGUCUGUGAUAUUAUCCGAGACUCCGAACAACCUUCGGUCAGCAACACAUAUAACUCAACUAUACUAAAACAUCAUCAAACCUGAAGUGUGCAGACCCUGCGGGUUCGAGAACUAUGUAGACAUGACCCAAUACACUUCUCGGUCAAUAUCCAAUAGAGGGACCUGGAUGUCCAUAUUGGAUCCUAUAGGUUGAACGUUUGUGCCAAGGAUUCAUAUAAUCCCGUAUAACAUUCCCUUUGUCCUUCGGUAUGUUACUUGCCUGAGAUUUGAUUGUCGGUAUGCGUAUACCUAUUUCAAUCUCGUUACCAACAACUCUCUUUACUCGUUCCGUAAUACAAGAUCCCAUGACUUACACUUGAGUCACAUUGCUUGCAAGGCUUGUAUGUGAUGUUGUAUUACUGAGUGGGCCCCGAGAUACCUCUCCGUCACACGGAGUGACAAAUCUCAGUCUUGAUCCAUGCUAACUCAACGGAUACCUUAGGAGAUACCUUUAGAGCACCUUUAUAGUCACCCAGUUACGUUGUGACGUUUGAUACACACAAGGUAUUCCUCCGGUGUCAGUGAGUUACAUGAUCUCAUAGUCAUAGGAAUGAAUACUUGACACGCAAAAACAAUGGCAACAAAAUGACACCAUCACAUGCGACGUUCAUAGUUUGGGUCUAGUCCAUCACAUGAUUCUCCUAAUGAUGUGAUCCAGUUAUCAAGUGACAACACUUGCGUCUGAUCAGAAAACGUUAACCAUCCUUGAUCAACUGGCUAGCCAACUAGAGGCUUGCUAGGGACAUUGUUUUUUCUAUAUAUCCACACAUGUAUCUAUGCUUUCAUUCAAUAAAAUUAUAGCAUGGAUAAUAAACGAUUAUCGUGAAACAGGAAAUAUAAUAAUAACUAUUUUAUCAUUGCCUCUAGGGCAUAUUUCCAACAAGUAUGUCUAGAGAGGGGGUGAUAAGACUACUUGGCCAAAUAAAAACUUAUAUUUUUUCGAAUUUUAGUUGUAUGCUACUUUUAGCAAUUAUAACAAGUCAAGCAACACCCUACACAUGAAAGUCUAAGAUUUGAGCAACGGAAAAUAGAGAAAUUGCAUAUGUAUAUAAAGGAGAGAUCGUUGAUGGAGACUUCAACCCAUGAAGGGUUAUGGUUGCACGAGUCCACAUAGGGCUCCACCCAUGAAGGGUCCACGAUGAAGCAACCUUGUCUUUGCCAUCAUGGCAUACAUCCAUGAAGGACUAGCCUCACCUAGGUUAGAUCUCAAUGAAGUAGGGAAUCUCUUUGCCCUUAUAAAAUUAUGGGUUCAGCUUCACAUGAUUUGGAGGCUCGCAAGCGACACCUAACCAAUCUAGGAGACACCACUCUCCACAUGGUGAUAGAUGUUGUGUCGAUGAAGAACUCCUUUUGUCUUGUGCUUCAAAAGAUAGUCUCCUCCACACUCAAUCACUCUAUCACAUAUUUUGGCUUAGUAGAAGAGACGGAUUGGGUGCAAAGCACUUGGGCAAGCUAGAAAUGAAGGACCUUAUGGUUGGAAUGGAAUCCUUUAAUCUCAACACAUGAGUAGGUGGUUCUCUCUUAUAAAAUGGAACUGAAGGUAUAUGCUUCAUCCCGGUUGCUCUCUAUGAGAGUGGAUUGUGGUGGAGGGGUAUAUAUAGCCUUCACCAAAAAUUCAUCCGUUACUACUUUAUGCUCAACUUGGUGACACCAAAAUCAAAUCUGAGUAGGACCAACUAGUGCAAAAGGUUCAAACUUAUGGCUUUUCAGUGGGACCGAACAAAUCCACCCGAUCAGACCAAUUUCUGCGAUAAAUUAAGCUAUUGCCACGUUUCGGUAAUUUCGAUCGGUUCAUCUCGGAAAUUUCAAGAUGAAAUCAAUCAAUUACAACAACUUGGUCACUAUACUUUGGUGGGAUCGAAGGCCAUCUCGGUUGCACCAAGUUUUAUGGUUUGGCUUUGUUUAUUUGUCUUGGUUGGCUCGGUGGGUACAUAAGAUGUUUUCCAUGGGAUCAAGUUUGACUUUAGGGUUUUGGAAAAAUGGAACUAAGAAAGUGGUUGAGAGUAUUUGGUGGAAACUCUCUAAUCACUUGAGCAAUCGAGUCCUCAUAAAAACCUCAUCCCCUCUUAAUAGUAUUGUAUUUCCUAUGGAAUAAGUGUGAUCAUUGAUCACCUAAUGUAAAAUGUAGAGUCUUAAAGAUUUUGCCAAUGUGUUUCCUUUGAAUGUUGAGGACUACACAAUCACAUAUACUAGCCAUGCCAAUCAUUGAAUUUAUCCUGAAAACAUAUUUGAGUACUUGAUACGUCCCAAAUGUAUCUACUUUUCCAAACACAUUUUGUCUUGUUUUGCACUCUAAUUUGCAUGAAUUGAAUGGAACUAACUUGGACUAGCAUUGUUUUUAACAGAACUACCAUGGUGUUGUUUUUAUGCAGAAACAGAAGUACUCAGAUUAGGCUAAAAAUUUAUGAAGAAUAUUUCGAGAAUAUAUAAAAAAUUAUUGGCAAAGAGAACUAUCGAAGGGGGCUACCAGGGAUCCACGAGCUCAUGAGGCACCCACCCCUAGGGUGCGCCAUGCUGGCUCAUGGGUCUCACAGACCUCCGUUUGUCCGAACUCCAACUCCAUAACUACCAUCUCACGAAGAGAAAAAUGAGAGAGAAACUUCCAUCGCAUUCUAUGACAUGUUCUCGAUGCCACCUGUUGUUUUUUAUUGGGGCUGAUCUUGAGUCCAUUUGGGGCUCCAGAGAAGGGGAUUCAUUGUUGUCCUCAUCACCAAACCUUCUCCAUCAACUAUUUCAUGAUACUCACCAUCGGGAGUGAGUAAUUCCUUCGUAGGCUUGUGGACAGUGAUGGAGUUGGAUGAGAUUUGUCAUGCAAUCGAGUCAAUUUGUUAGGACUUGAUCCCUAGUAUCCAUUGUGUUCUCACAUUGAUGUUGAUAUGACUUUGCUAUGCUUAAUGCAUGUCACAAGGGACAGGGUGCCAUGAUUUCAGAUCUGAACCUAUUAUGUUUCCAUCAAUAUGAGAGUGUUUUAGAUCUUAUCUUGCAAGUUAUAUGCACCUAUUAUUUGUUAUGACCCAUGACCCAAAGUGACAAUAGAUGGUAUCUUCUCCGAUGAUGCCCGUAGUAUGAGGAGUUCAUAUAUUCACCAUGUGUUAAUGCUUUGUUUCGGUUCUCUAUUAAAAGGAUGCCUUAAUAUCCCUUGGUUUUCCUUUGGACCCCGCUACCAUGGGAGGGUGGGACAAAAGAUGUCAUGCAAGUUCUUAUUAUAAGCAUGUAUGACUAUGUUUGGAAUACAUGCCUACAUUACAUUGAUGAAUUGGAGCUAUUGUGUAUCGCUCUAGAUUGUGACUGUCACAUGAUGAAUGGCAUCCAACAUAAAUAUCAUCACAAAUUUUUUAGGCCUACUAUUUUCUCUUAUUGAUGUUUGUUAAGUUACUAAUGUUGAUGUUGUUACAAUCAUCACAAAUUGCAAUUAUUCAUGUUCCUAUUACUAUUGCUAUCGUUAUUGAAACCAUCGAAACUAUCAAACUAAUGUACUACUAGACACUAUGCUACAGAGAUAUUAUAUUCCAAGUGUGGUUGAAUUUAUGAUAACCCACAAGUGUAGGGGAACGUUUGUAGCUUUUUUGGUAAGAAGAGUCUCGAACCCAACGAGGAGCUAAAGGUAGAAUUAAUAUUCUCUCAAGUUCUAUCGACCAUCGAUACAACUUUACGCACGCCAGCGCUUACUUUACCUAGAACAAGUAUGAAACUAUUUCGCGGCAAGGAAACAAUAAGUACUUUGUAGGUGUAAUAGAUAGUUUUACUAGGUAAUAAAGAACAAGUAAAUAAAAGUUAGGUGUUGUUUAGAAAGAUUAAUAAGUAAGUUGUUUAGUAUAAAUCUUUUUUGUGUAAUGCAAGAGAAAGAUUGUCCAUAGGCAAUUGAAUAUAACAUGAUAGAUACUUAUCACAUGCAAUGAGGGACACACAUACGCUAACACACUUUCUGUACUUGGAUCAUAUGCACUUAUGAUUAGACCUCUAGCAAGCAUCUGCAACCACUAGAAUUCAUUAAGGUAAACCCAGUCAUAGCAUAAAACACCAAGUCCUCUUUACUCCCAUACGCACACAACUCCCUUACUUAAGUGUAAGCUUCUGUCACUCUAGCCACCCACUGUAAGAAAAUCAUGAACAUACUACAAACCCUCCAAUGUGAAUCUUCACGUGUGCACCUCAUCGAAGGAACCUUAGGACAACACCAUAUCAACGAACAAAUCAUAUAAAUAACAUUAUAUAACAAUUAACCCGUAGGAGAAAAUGAAUCUACUCAAACAUCAUAGGAUAUACGCACAUCAUUGGGUAAUAAUAUAUAGCAUUAAGCACCAUGUUUAAGUAGAGGUUACAGCAAGGAUAAGAGGGUUUACACUCCUGCACAAAAGGGGAGAGAUUGGUGGUGACGGCGACGAAGUUUCUUAAACAUCCAUGCCCACGAUGGCUCUUGAAGGGCAGCAACCUCUCCAAUUGGAUCUCUCUCUGUUUCUCUUCUAUUUUCGCGAUUUUUUUGGCCCUUCACCGUUUCUUACACAUACGGAGAUUCGUAACCGACCGGGCUGAAAUUUUGAGGGUGUUUUUAUCACGAAAAUAUCUUUCUUGCGACGGAAGGAGAGCCUCAACAUACUUAAGGGCUCGCCACAAGCCAUCAGGUUGCCCACCCCCUAGGCCACACCAUGUUGGCUUGUGGGGCCCUCGGGCAUCGUCUUGCGUUGAUUCCGACUCCCAAAAUUCACAUAUAUUCCAAAAAGUCUCCCUAAAGUUUUAUGAAAUUUGGACUUCAUUUGAUAUGGAAUUUCUGCAAAACAAAAAAAGCACAAAAAACACGAACUAUCACUAGGAACUGGGUAAGUAAGUUAGUCCCAAAAAUAAUAAUGUUGCAAAAGUAUAUGAAAAUUGUAGAAUAUUGGCAUGACAGAAUAAAAAAUUAUAGAUACGACACAGAUGUAUCAAUUGACAACUCAACUGCGAAGGAUCAUAGAUAUUGUUUGGAUCCCCUCGUGUCGAAUCAACAAAUUUGAGUGAAAUACUACCAUCGAAGACUAUCACGCCCCCCUAUACUUGUGGGUUAUCUAGACCUUUUUCUGGCGUCAUUGUGGGGAACAUAGCUUUAUUUAUUGAGUUCAUUUGGGAUAUCUAUUGGUCACUAUGAGUAAGUUGAAAGACUCCAAAACUUAGAUCGUUCCCUGUAAGACGAGGAGAGGUAAGGAACUGUCAUCUAGCUCCUCAUUCGAUUUACCUUCUGUUUUGAGUAAGCUUAUGACACCUCCACCUGCUAUUCAAUAUGAUAUGUCAGAAGUAAUAGACACUACUUCUACUAUGGAUGAUGUUCAUGAUGGUGCUACUACUAUGCUAGAUGAAACUGAAACUGUGCCACUAAGUGAAUUGUUCGAUGCUCAUAUUGCUAGAUCCAAAUAAAUUGAGAAUGCUAGACUGAUGAAAUUUUUAUUCACCCAUUAUGCCCAGCUCUCCUACUAGAGUUGAAAUGCGUGAGAUACCUCGUGGUUAUGUGAUCAUAAAAGAUAGUGUCGCUAAUAAAAGAAAUAUAACUAAAACUAAAAUGUCCACCAUGCUUGUAAAUUAUUCUUUUAAGGGGAGUGAGUACCUAAGAAGUUAGGAGAUUGAGGAAUACCCACUAUAACUUGCUCCAUUAAAAGAAAGUAUGUCAAAACUUCCUUAUGUGAUUUAGGAGCGGGUGACCAUCUACUUAUUGAGGAAAUAAACUUCACUAAAUAAUAUCAACUUAAACAAAUUGGGAUAAUUACUAUUAGAGGGUUAAAAUUUCCUCUUCGUACUAUCAACAAGAGAUAUGAAAUUCUUAUUGUUGGGGAAAUGCACAUCCCCAUUCAGGUAACUUAGUGUUAUAAGAAGAUUUUUUGGUUUCAUGUUAUUCACAAACAAAUUGUUAAUAAGGCAUGAUCAAUCGUAUUAAUGGAUUCUUUAUGGGCAUGUGCUCGAUAAAUUUAGUAAGCACAACCUGUUGUACCCAUAGUUUACUUUUUGUUAUUUAAAGGUUUAAUUAAGUAGAAUGCUAUUACCCCAUUUUCUUAAUUAUUUGUGCAAUAAAAAAUGUCCCCAAAAUAAAAGUUCUGGAAAUGACGUGAAAAUUUAGUAUGAUUUUUCCUAUAAUAUAUAUAAAUUUUUGGCACUGAACACACCCUAGGGGGUGCACCUGUGAGCCACGAGCUUGGAGGGCGCGCCAUGCAAGAUGGUGGGUCCCACGGGGACCCACUCAUUUAGUGCACCAUCCCAUUACCAUAUCAUACCUCCCAAAAAAAUCGUCCCUGCCUCCUAGCCCGAGUUCUUACUCAUUUUAAAGUGAUUUUUGAUCUCUUUGCUUUGUACUCUGUUUUUGUAACUAUUUCGAGGAAUUCCUCCUUGGUAUGUAACUCCUCCACUGCUCCAAUUAGUUUUGUUCUAGUGCUUGAUGUUUUGCAAAUCUUGCUACUGUAGGUGACCAUGUAUAUUAGCUUGUUAGAUGGUUCAAAAUAGUUUUGAUGCAUUAUACAGCCUCUAGACACUUGUGGGACUAGUUGAUAUCUUGUUGAGUUUAGUUCCCUUUUAUUUGGAAGGAGUAAAAAUUUCAAAGAAAAGGAUAAAAUAAUGAAGAGAUUCUUGAGACGUUCUUUGAGCUAGAGUUCCAAGGGAACAACACAGGAGAAGCCUAAGUACCAUCUUCCUCGCGCAACCGAGGUGUGAUCGUGCAAAUGGCCAUGCGACACAUUUCUAAGGGAUGUAGGAAUUCAUGAUGAUUUAUAUUAUUUGGUCGACCGAGCCAGACUCACUCCGUUCUUGGAAGAUAAGUGUGAUCAGUAUCUCCUCCUCACCAAUACUUUUCUGCAAAAUUUUCACUUUCAUGCUAGGAGAUUGGUACCCACCGUAUCAUUCCACUUAUAUGAAGAACAAAAGGAAAUGACGGAUGAUAAGUUCUCCCAAGUUCGCAAAAUUCCUAAUGAGGGCAGCCCUCUAGAGCCUCGUCCUAGAUACGUUCGGGAUUUUAUUUUUGCAGCGAUUGUGGGGGAUAAGAUAGGAGUUUCUGGUGCUAGUGUCAUUAGUUUGCAUUUUCCUAUUUUACAUUAUUGUUCAUUUUUUGCUCGUAGGUGCAUUACCGGUAGGUGGGAGAGCAGAACACUCAGCUCGCCUGACCUUGCUAUCUUAUGUAGUGCACUCUAUGGUGAUAGUACUUUUAGUUUGGGAGCUAUUUCCGCACAACGGUUGCACACCAACCGCUCAAAGGGUGUCAUCUAUGGUUGUAUUUAUGCCUGUCUCCUAGAGAAUUUGAGAUUCCUAUUAGGUAUAGGAAGGAUGAGAUCUUAACUACUAAAUAUAUCGAUUAUGGUAUCAGGGUUGGGAAUAACUUUAUUGAUUUUGGUAUAACUUGGUAUUUAGUGAGGAUUCUUGUGAGAAGAUUACUCUACCUGCACAGCCUUUGUUUCAUCUUUCCAGGGGAAGGCACACUAUUAUGGCUAAGGACAUUUACGCUUUUUGGGGCUUGACACCAUGAUACUUGUAAACUGUGUUGGAUUUUUCCUCGAAGAGGAGGGAGAUGCAGCACAAUACAGAUAAGUAUUUCCCUUAGAGAGCACCAAGGUUAUCGAACGAAUAGGAGAAUCAUGCUAACCCCCUUCGACAACACCUACACACACAUAACCAAACACUUGUGCCCAACGCAGACAAGAGGGUUGUCAAGCCCCUUGAACUCGUUACUUGCAAGGAUUAAAUACUGGUAGAUAGAUAAUAGAAAUAAAUAAAAUUAAAUAACAUUAAAUGAAUUGCAGCAAAGUAAUUUUUGAGGUUUUUUAGUUUUGUGUAAGUAGACCCGGGGGCCAUAGUUUUUAGUAGAGGCUUCUCUCUCGAACAUAGCAUACGGUGGGUAAAGAACUUACUAUUGGGAAAUUGACAGAAUAGCGCAUAGUUAUGACUUGAAAUUAACAACGAUGAUAAUGUAUAUAGGUAUCACGUCAAUAAAUAAUUAGACUGACUCCUUCUUGCAUCUACUACUAUUACUACACACAUCGACCGCUAUUCAACAUGCAUCUAGAGUAUUAAGUAUGAAACAGAGUAAUGCUUGGAGCAAGAUGACAUGAUGUAGACACAGUAAGACAAGCAAUAUCUUCACACCCCAUAGUUUUAUCCUUAAUUAUAGCAAUAAAAUACGUGUCAUGACCCUUUCUGUAAACUGGAAUUGAGCAAGGUGAGAUUGAACCCAUCACAAUGCAACGCUCCCACUAAAUAUAAAUCAAUCAAGUUGGCGAAAUCAAACCGAUAUAUCGGAAUGAAAUUCAAACCUAUAACAAUCAUGCAUAAAAUAUUUCAAAGAAGACUCAAUAUAUAUUCAUCAAUAAUCUGAUCAUAAACCCACAAUUCAUCGGAUUCCAACAAACACAUCGCAAAAUAUGAUUAAAUCGGAUACAUCACCACGGGAAUCACGGUGAACCUUGUAUUGAAGAUUAAAGAGGGAGAAGAAGCCAUCUAGGUACUAGCUAUGGACCCAUAGGUCUGUGGUGGACUAGUCACACAUCACCAUGGAGGCAACAAGGUUGAUGUAGAUGUCCUUGAUACGUUUCCAACAUAUCGGUAAUUUAUAAAUUAUUAAUGCCAUAUUUUCCUAUGUUUACAAUACGUUUAUAUUGCUUUAAUGCACUUUAUAUGAUUUAUUUAGAAUUAACCCGGACUAGCAUUGUUUUGAGCAGAAUUACUGUGGUUUUGUUUUUGUGCAGAAAAUAAAUGUGCCCGGAAUUCCCCGAUUUGUUUUUAUGAUUUUUUAUGGAUAAAAUAAUAAAUACCAGAGUGAAGAACCGUCGAAGGGGCCUAUUUGUGGCCAAAAGCUAACAGGACGCGCCCUGAUGUGUGAUGGGGCCCACGUGGCUCUGUUUGACGUGUUUCCAAUGCUAAAAAAUCCUAUACAUACCAAAACUCUCUAUAUCAAAGAAAACCCUAUAUGGAGCCUUUCCAGUACUCUGCCGGAGGGCGAAAUCAUCUCUGGUGGCCAUCUUCAUCAUGUCGGCGGGGGCCAUGAUGAGAAGGGAGUAGUUCAUCCUCGGUGCUGAAGGUAUGUACUAUAGCUAUGUGUUUAAUCUCUCUCUCUCCCUCUCUCUCGUGUUCUUGAGAUGGCACAAUCUUGAUGUAUCAUAGGUUUUGUUAAUAUGGUUGAUCAUAUGGUGUUCUUCCCUUGCCAUCUUGUUGUGAUGAAUUGAAUCUUUCCCUUUGAGAUCUCGUUAUGUUGGAUUGAAUAUUUUGGGUUUGAGAACACUUGAUGUAUGUAUUGCAUGCGGGUACUCGUAGUGACAACGGGGUUUUCUAUUGGUUCACUUGAUAUUGGUUAUGGCCAAACUUGCGGAUUUCGAUGACCUUGGGGAUCUAUGCAUAGGGGUUGGUUGCAUGUUCUCAUUCUACCUUCUCUAAUAGAAAUAUUGGGGUACUCUUUGAAGUUCUUUGUGUUGGAUUGAAAAUGACGAAUUUGAAAUUGUUUGAUGCAUUUCAAAUAAUUAUCCAAUGGAUACUUGAGGUGACAAUGCAGUAUCUAGGUGACAUCAGGAUUGAUUAAUAUGUAUCAUAGGUGUUAUUCUAGUAUGAACUCUAGAGAUGUUUGUGACACCUACAGGAAUAUCCCAAAAGAUUGAUCGCAAAGAUUAACUUUCAGGUGGUUCGCUGCCUACAACAACUUCUUAUUAUGUUCUCCGCUAAUAGGAACUUUGGAGUGAUUCUUUGUUGCAUGUUGAGGGAUGGCCAUAUGAUUCUACUAUGUUACCAGUGUUGAGAGAUGGCACUAUUGAAAGUAUGAACUGUAAGCCUUGUUUCUAAGCAUUAAUAUACCAUUCUUCUCGCUGUUUACUACUUGUUACCUUACUAUUUUUAUUUAUUCAGAUUAUAAAAAUAUAUUUCUACAAUCCAUUCUACACUUGUAUCACCAUCUGUUCGCGAAACUACUGCACCUAUACAAUUCGCCAUUGUAUUGGGUGUGUUGGGGACACAAGGGAUUUCUUGUAUUUGAUUGCAAGGUUGCUUGAGAGAGACCAUCUUCAUCCUACACCUCCCAUGGAUUGAUAAUCCUUAGGUCAUCCACUUGAGGGAAAUUUGAUGCUGUCCUACAAAACUCUACACUUGGAGGCCCGACAACAUCUACAAGAAUGAAGUUGCAUAGUAGACAUCAGGCCUCCGGGAUCGAUUCCCCCUUCGGCAGGGCACCGAAAAAGUUCUCCACAUGGACUCCCAUCGGAACAGAAACUUGCGACGGCAGAAAAAAAAGUAUUUCAGGUGGCUCUUUGUUGGUUUCCUGAUUUUAGAGAAUUUAUGGAGGUGGAAAUAGGUUAGGCGAAGUCGCGAGGGGACAACAAGGAAUUAGGGCAUGUCUACCCCCCUCGACGCACCCUGUUUCCUUGUCGUAUCCUCGUUUGUUGUUUGGUCUCCUUCCGAAGCUUCUAGGUCCUAUUUUGUUCAUAAAAAACCAUCAAAAAGUUUUGUAGAAUUUGCACUUUGUUUGGUACUAAUUUCCUGGAAAACCAAAAAGAAGAAGAAAACAUCAAUUGGCACUAGGCACUCGAUUGAUAACUUAGUUUCCAAAAAUGAUAUAAAAUAGCAUAUGAUUGCAUAUAAAGCAUCCAAGAUUGUUAAUAUAAUAGCAUGGAAAAAUUUAAAAUUAUCGAUACGUUGGAGAUGUAUGACAACACCCGAGCACCUGAGCCUACAUAUCGGUGGGAGGCUCUGGAGCCUUCCUAUUAGUGGGAGACUUAGGAGCCUCACUAUUACCCUCGACCUGAUUAUUUCGAGUUGUGGCCAUAUACCAAGUUAGGCCAAAAUCUUAGGAGUAUGUAUUUCUCAUCGACAUUACAUUCAUGUACCAUGCAUUCAUUCCUGUUGUCGGUGUUCAUCCUCUUUCAUUGUAUAUCCAUGUUGAGUUUUAUUUUUGGUUUCUUUGGUGUGUUUGAAAACUUCCGAAAAUAAAAAAAAUGUUUGUUUUUGGUUUUUCUUUCUUGCUUUUCUAGUUUGUAGUAUUAAAAAUAAAACUCAAACAUAGUUCCUAUUCUUAUUUUUUUUGUUGGGAGAUUUCUUGUGUAAAUAGUUGUUCUCAUUUCUUGUCUUUCUUAUAUUCUAUUUGCUCUCUUCUAAAAAACUAAAAACUCCAAAAACAUUUUAGUAUGUUUCUCUGAUAUUCUUUUCUUUUGUUUGAGCUGUCGUGAGGAGAAGACCAUGUUAAAAUUGUUGAGUGGCUCUUAUAUGCAAUAUUGCUCAUCUAAUAGAGCCAAUAUUACCUUGUUUUCUCCUUCGAAUAAAUUGUUUCGUAGAUUCCAUCUUAGUCCACGACACACUUGCACUAUUAGUAUUUUUACAUCAUUCAGUCAUGCAAGUGAAAGGCAAUAAUGAUGAUGACUUGAUGAAGUCUAUGCGGUGAAGGGAAGUUGGUCCGAACUCUUAUCUUUUUUGUUUUUGUAAAUAUGUUUAGCUUAGCCGAUAUUGAUUUAACAUAUUUUGUGUAAACAUGCUUGUGAUGAAAAUUACAGUUUAUAGUUUCUCAUGCUAUGCUUAAUUAGGUAGGAGUGAAUACCGAUUCAUCUUGUGUGUCAACAUGCAUUAAAAUGAUUGUGAUGUAGUAUGUUGGUAUAGUAUCCUCCUCUCAAUAAUUCAAGUGUCUUGACUUGGCACAUGUUCAGACAUGUAGUUGAUUCAAAACCAAUGUAUCCUUCAUGAUAUUUAUGUUCGAAAUGUUUAUAUCCUUCCCAUACUCAUAUUAUGUGUUAAAAAUUUCAUAAUGCAUGAUUAUGAUCAUUGUCACUCUCUAGUUGUCGGCUUCUCAAUCUAUUUUCUAGCCUUCACUUGUACUAGGCGGGAAUACUGCUUGUGCAUCCAAAUUCCUAAAACCCAAAGUUGUUCCAGAUGAGUCCACCAUACCUACCUAUCUGCUGUAUUACUCUGUUGUUCUAAGUAAAUUUGCAUGUGCCACCUCCAACAAUUCAAACAGACAUUCUUUUUGUGUGCGUGUAUCAGUCAUGUAGCGACGAGGCGGUCAAUUUUUUCCAUGCUAAGCGGGUUAUUCUGAUGAGGGUGUUUAUUCAACUAUCAUUGCACGAGAGAGGUUGGUAAUUGGGAUGUUGAUUCCUGUAAUCAAAAACAAAAAAUGUAAUAAAACAAACUCCCCCUGGAAAGUUGAUUGUUUAGAGGGCACCCAUAAAUUAGGCUAGACAUGGCUUGUGUUUGUAUGGAUGAGUGGGAGUAAAAUUUACCUUUCCGCUUGGGAACCGCUGAUAAUGUGUUUAGCAUGGAACAUAUCAAAAUCCUUUUUCAUAAUAUUCAACUCUGAGCUUUGGCACCUCUCCAAAUCCCUGCUUCCCUCUGCGAAGGGCCUUUCUAUUUUAGAUUUAUUGUUGAGUGAAAACCUUCUCAUUAAAGCACUAACUUUGAGAGUGCUAUUGUCAUUCUUAUGCAUUGAGUAUAAUUAAUAUUGAAUGCGAACAUCAUUGGAUCUAUCUACCGAGAAUUAAAAUGUUUAGUUGUUUCUUAAACUUCAGAGGUGCUCUCCAUUUAUGUUUUGCAGCUUCAGAAAGGGCUAGCCAUAUACCAUGUUAUCAUAUUAUAUCAUGAUUGUUUUCACAAAUUGCUAGCAUCCCAGAUAUCUUAUUAUUGCUCUCUAGUUGGUUAUGUUAUUCUUAUUAGAGGAUAUGAGAUCUAAAUGUUAUCAUUCAUAUGGAUAGUUCAGAAUCUUUGCUGAAAACUGGAACACUAGUUAACCUUAUAUAUAGCUACGAGAACAAAAGAGUUUGUAAAAGUGUUUCUUUUUCACUUUGAGUUUGUCAACUGAAUUGCUUGCACACAAGAAAGGAGUUACGCUUGAGGGAGCUGAUAUGUCCCAAAUAUAUCUACAUUUCAUAACACGUUUUCUCUUAUUCCGAACUCUAAUUUUCAUGAUUUGAAUGAAACUAACCCGGACCGACAUUGUUUUUUAGCAGAACCACCAUGGUCUUAUUUUUGUGCAUAAAUAAGAGCUCUCAGAUUGGGCUAAAAAUUACAGAGAAUAUUUCCACGACAUAUAAAAAAUAGUGGCAACGAAAACUAUCCAAGGGGGCCCACCAGGGAGCCACGAGCUCACGUGGCACACCACUCCCCUAGGGCACGCCAUGGAGGCUUCUGGGACCCAACUCCUGUUUUCCCUAACUCUGAUGCCAUAUGUAACGUAUCAUGGAGAAAAAAAAUCAAAUACAAACUUUCAUCGAGUUUUAUGAGACGGAUUUGCGCCAACCUUAUGUUCUUCAACAGGAUGGCUGACGUGGAGUCCGUUUGGGGCUCCAUAGAGGGGGAUUCAUCGUCUUCGUCAUCACCAACCUUCUCCAUCAACAAUUCCAUGAUGCUCACCACCAGGUGUGAGUAAUUCCUUCGUAGGCUUGUUGGACGGUGAGGGAUUUGGAUGAUAUUUAUCAUGUAAUCGAGUCAAUUUGUUAGGGCUUGUUCCCUAAUAUACACUAUGUUCUCAGAUUGAUUUUGCUAUAACUUUGCUAUGCUUAAGGCUUGUCACUAGGGCUCGAGUGCCAUGAUUUUAUAUCUAAAACUGUUAUGUUUCCACAAAUAUGGGAAUGUUAUCCUAUCUUGCAAGUUAUAUGCACCUAUUGUGUGUUACGGUCCGUAGACCCCCAAAGUGACAAUAGUUGCGAUCCUUUGCGGUGAUGACCUUAAUAUGAGGAUUUCAUGUAUUCACCAUGUGUUGCUGCUUUGUUCCAGUUCUGUAUUAAAAGGAGGCCUUAAUAUGACUUAGUUUCCCUUUGGACCCCGCUCCAACUCGAGGGUAACCAAAGAUGUCAUGCAAGUUCUUAUUAUAAGCAUGUAUGACUAUAUACAGAAUACAUGCCUUCAUUACAUUGAUGAAUUGGUGAUGUUGUAUAGCUCUAGGUUGUGAAUGCUACAUGAUGAAUGUCAUCCAACAUAAAUAUCCUUUAGUAAUCUAGUGCCUAGGCUCUUAUCAUAUUUUUCUUUGCUAAGUUACUAUUGUUGUUGUAGUUGUAAUCAUCAUAAACUGUUAUUGUUAUUGUUCAUAUUACUAUGCUACUGUUACUGAAAGCAUCAAAAGUAUCAAACUAUUGCGGUACUAAAUACUUUGUGCACAGAUAUUAUACUCCGUGUGUGGUUGAAUUUACAACUCAACUGCUAAGGCUCAUAAUUAUUGGUUGGCUCCCCUUGUGUAUGAAAGAAAAAUUGCUCCCUAAGGUGGUUUUGGUAGUUAAGAACAACAUAUGUAUCAUUAAACUAAUGAUUCUAUCCAAGUAUAUUUUAGAAGAUUUCAAAGAUGCAUUGGCUAAAGGAUUGUGAGGAGAAACCCCUUGAUGCAAGGAAAAUGAAUAGGAUUGGCAAAGCUUCAAGCAAGAGGAAAUCCAAUAAUAUUAAAAUGGGGUGACGUACUUAUGAUGAAUUGGUUGCUCAAGUUCUCAGAUAUAGGUACCAAAAAUCCUUAGCAUUUCUCUCACAAAAUUCUCUGUCCAAAGCCUACACAUCAAAAUCGGUAGCGACCCGACUCAACGAGUCAAGCCUCUGGUGUUUCCGUACCAUCCCAAGAUCAUGCUGGUACACACACAGUACAUAAUGUAUAUAUUCAGGAGUGCAAUCACACAACUUUAUUAAUCAAAAUCUCAUAAAGAGUACUUUAUUACAAUAAAGGAGUACAAUAAAGUGGCUGAAGGCCAUCUCAUGAGAUUAUCUAACGAAGACUAAGCGGAAGCAUCAGGUAGACGAGUCCAUCCGACUCCAAGGGCAUGUUGCUGAGCGUAGAACCGUAGCCUCACUCCUGGUCGGAAAAGUACUCUGCAACAUGAUACGUUGCAGCCGUGUAGGUCAGCAUAUUGAAUAUGCUAGCAAAUCAUCAAGAGACGGAGUAAAAUAGUAAUCAACUAUCUCUACAUGCAUAUUUGGCCGGUGGAGCUAAGUUUUGCAUAAAGCCAGUUUUAUCCUACAACAAAAGGGGUCGAAAGCAAAAUAUUACUACAUGUUUGUUGUUAAGGAGAUGGUUCCGCCAACCAGUUCUCGUACCCGAAUAGUUGUUAACACCCACAUCAUUAUUAAGUUGUGUCGAGAGUUCAGGGGAAAUUCAAUGCCUUCGGCUCAAGUUGUCCAUGACCGUGGACACGGCUAAUCGAUUAGGUUGAGUACUCUGCAGAGUUUUGCACACGUUCCCCACAAGAUUUGAUCGCCUCCGGGUUUGUCCUCGCACUUCAGGGUGUUUGAAGACCGGAUGAUCAAAACAUGGUCUUUCAACGGGUCCCUCUGAAUCCCUGUCGGUGCCCAUCCAUUCCUACUGUUCUUCUACAUCUGCUAGCACCGCCUGUCCAGAGUCGCCGCGUUGUCCAACCAAGCCAGAGCCCAUAAUGACUUGUGGCUGUGCAGGUAAGCCUUGAGUCUUGAAAAUAUCCGUCCGUCUCCUUGAGCCUGGGUGAAGCUUUCCGCAGGAUGACAUGGCCUCUCCAGCAUCCCGGGCAUCCACUGGGUUUUCCAGGGAGCCGAUCAACCGUCCUUCACCCAGUGUUGCAUUUGCGUCCGAGGUCUUGAAAAUCUUGUCUUAGUCCGGUCUUGAUUAUUAUAUCAACCUCGCAUCACUCGUGGUAUACACUCAACCGAUACCCGUCUACUUAAGCAUAGCAAGUAUAAUAUUGUCGUCCCGGGGCCAAGUAUCGGGGUUGUUGUGUUCCUACCACAUGAUACUACAACUUACACUAAAGUUUCCAAGUACCUAGGCAGCAUGCAAAUUGUGCAAAGAAGGUGAUCUACUAUGCAUCGAAAACAUAGGUAAAAUAACAUGAUCAAAGAUGACUUGUCUUGAUGAUAGUUGUCCUGCUCAAGCGUCUCUAAGUAACACGCUUCGCACUUCGGAUGAUCUACCGAUACAAACACAAAGCACACCCUAAGCAAUUCAAUCAUGCCACAAGUAAAAAUAACAUCACAUGCAAUGAUUUGCAAAAGACUACGCAAAAGAAUUUAUCGUGCGCCGGUAGGGCAGAAACUUGUUUCUGUUGAAAACACCAGUAAAAAUACUGUAAAAAUUCUGAAACUUCUACCACAGUAAUAUUUUAUCACUAGAAAAUAGUAGCAAAAAGAAUCAACUCAAUAUCAUUUUUCAAACUCCUGGAAUAGGCAAAACAGUGUUUAAACUAAAUCUGCUCUAACUUAUAUUUAAAAAUUUCAAACAUAGACAAAUUAUAUGUUUUUACAAACUGCAUGAAAUUUGUGAGCUACUGGAAAAAGAAUCAAUGUCAAUGGACGUAGGGAUAAAAAGUUGUGGCCAAAACAAAAUUGAAAGUUUCUGUUUUUGUAAACUGGACAGGAAGUUAGAAAACUGCUAGUGCUAAAAGAGAGGCUCACGUGGCAAGUUUCUACUGGCUGCAGUGGCUGUUUGUUGAAUAGCUUCGGGCAAACGGCCUAAGGCUAGCAAAGUCGCCGGUUAAUACUUAAGUGGCAAGAAAAACCUACUGGUUUUCUGAGAAUAACCGAAGGGUUACUAGUGUUCUAAUCCUAGCCAUUGCAUGGGAUUGCAUGGGAUCUAAGGGCUGAGAUUGAGUGCAUGCAAUAUAUAUAUAGAGAGAGAGGUUGCUACCUUCUGGGCAGAGGUGUUGCACCGGCGAGGGGGAGUUGGCCGGCGAGGGAGGAGCUCCGGGGCGGGGUUGAAGGCUUCGGGGAGGCGGCGGCGGAGGUGCUCCUCCUCGGGGGAGGCGCGGUGGAGAGAGAGCUCGGGGGGGNNNNNNNNNNNNNNNNNNNNNNNNNNNNNNNNNNNNNNNNNNNNNNNNNNNNNNNNNNNNNNNNNNNNNNNNNNNNNNNNNNNNNNNNNNNNNNNNNNNNNNNNNNNNNNNNNNNNNNNNNNNNNNNNNNNNNNNNNNNNNNNNNNNNNNNNNNNNNNNNNNNNNNNNNNNNNNNNNNNNNNNNNNNNNNNNNNNNNNNNNNNNNNNNCGUGGAGGCGUGGCGGGGUGAAGUGGCGGCGGUGGCUAGGGUUGGGGGAGGGGUAGCCGAGGGGAGGGGGGUUUAUAUAGGCCUAGGGGGUGGUAUAAGGGAGGAGGAGAUCGCGGGAGAGAGGAGAGCUCGGUCUGGUCUCGGUAGAGAAGGAAAGAGAGGAGAGGCAGAGAGGAAAGAAGAGAUCGCGGGGCUUGGCAGGAGAGGAGGGAGGCGGUGGAGAGAGAGAACUGGGGAAGUCUCGGUCUGGGCAGAGAGAAGGAAAGGGAGGGAAUCGCUGGGAGGGUGCGGUCUUUGUUGGAGAAAAUAGGAAAGAGAGGGAGGAAGGAGAAGAGAGAGGGAGUUACGUGGGGCAUGCUGUGUAUGUGGAUGCAUGCCUCGUGCAUGGGGCUCGUGGGGGCGGCUGGGCUGAGCCCUUUGGCUCGGCCUGGCAGUUUCCUUUUUUUUUGAAAAAGAACAAACAGCAGCAAAAAGAAAAAAAACAAUAAAAAAAAUAUUUCCUAGCUAACAAAUACUAGAAAAAUAGGUACUAGAAUACUUAGGAAAAACAAAAUAAUAUAUAUAUAAUAUAUAUAUAUAUACAAAUACAUAUAAUAUCUAUGGAAACCCUAGUUCCACCUAAUGCAAACUUUCGAAAAUGAGUUUUAUGCAAUAGGUCACACAACUCGAUUGAAAAACUCAACAAAAAAAUAUAAUUCGGAGUUUAGAAAAUUUGCAAAACCAAAUUGGUGACUUCAAUAAUAUUCGAAACGCUAUGCACUUGAAUUCGACGGGGGGGGGAGAAGUCAUAUUAUCUCCACUCCAAUAAAUUGCCCGCAGUCACAUAACGAUUAGAAUUUUCAGAAGAACACAAAUAUGCAUAAAAUAUGAGAUGCAUAUGAAUGAUCUAUUAACAUCCGAAUUUAAGAAAAUUGGGAUGUUACAAACCUACCCACCUUAAGAUGAAUCUCGCCCUCGAGAUUCAGGUUGGCUAGAAAAUAGGUGCGGGUGGUCUCGACGAAGAUCCUCUUCUCGUUCCCAGGUGGCUUCUUCCUCGGUGUGGUGGCUCCACAACACCUUGCAGAACUUGUUGAUCUUGCUGCGGGUAACUCUGUUGGCAGUCUCGAGAAUCCGGAUGGGUUUCUCCUCAUACGUCAGAUCAAUGUCAAGCUGUAUGGCCUCUCGGGGCACUGUAUCUCUCAACUGAACAUCGGCCAUCUCAGCAUAGCAUUUCUUCAACUGGGAAACAUGGAAGACAUCAUGAACUCCGGACAAUCCUUCCGGCAGUUCCAGUUUGUAUGCAACUUCGCCUCUACGUUCAAGAAUUUUGUAGGGGCCAAUGAAACGUGGUGCUAAUUUUCCUUUCACACCGAAUCUCUUGAUUCCUCGAAGUGGAGACACCCGAAGAUAUGCUCGGUCUCCCACUUCGUACGUUACUUCCUUGCGUUUGCUGUCAGCAUAACUCUUCUGCCUGGACUGAGCUAUCUUGAGUCGGUCACGAAUAAGCUUGACCUUCUCUUCAGAAUCUCGGAUAAGGUCGGGACCAAAAAGUUGUCGGUCUCCAACUCCAUCCCACAUCAACGGUGUUCUGCACCUCCUUCCGUAUAGAGCUUCGAAAGGGGCCAUCUUCAGACUGGUCUGGUAGCUGUUGUUGUAUGAGAACUCGGCAUACGGUAAAUUGUCAUCCCAACUAGACCCAUAGUCUAGUGCGCAAGCUCUCAACAUGUCCUCCAGAAUCUGAUUGACUCUCUCAGUCUGUCCAUCUGUCUGCGGGUGAAAUGUUGUGCUGAACUCCAAUCUCGUUCCCAAGGUUUCAUGCAGUUGGUGCCAAAAUUUGGAUGUGAACUGAGUCCCUCUAUUGGACACAAUGCUCUUUGGUACUCCGUGCAGACAUACGAUCCUCGUCAUAUAUAUCUUGGCCAGCUUGGCACUCGGGUAGGUAGUCUUCACCGGAAUGAAGUGAGCUACCUUGGUCAAACGAUCGACCAUAACCCAAAUAGAAUCAUAGCCAGAACGGGUCCGAGGUAAUCCUGUGAUGAAGUCCAUACCAAGCUUUUCCCAUUUCCAUUCGGGUAAUGGCAGAGGUUGGAGCAAACCUGCUGGUUUCUGAUGCUCGGCUUUUACUCGCUGACAAACAUCGCAUAUAGCUACGUACUCGGCAAUGUCUUUCUUCAAUCCUGUCCACCAGAAACUUUCUUUCAGAUCCAGAUACAUCUUGGUAUUACCGGGGUGUAUCGAGUACGGGGAAUCAUGAGCUUCCUGAAGUAUCAGCUUCCUGAGUUCGGGAUCAUUGGGCACAUAGAUGCGAUCCUCAAACCAUAAAGUUCCGUGUUCAUCCUCACGAAAACCUUUAGCUUUCCCGUCUUCCAUUUUCUGCUUAAUCUCAGCUAUCUCCUUGUCAGCUUUCUGUGCUUCGCGGAUCUUUUCCGUCAAAGUAGACUGAAUUUCCAAAGUGGCAACAAAUCCUCUUGGAAUUAUCUCCAAUUUAAGCUCUCGGAGGUCAUCGACUAACUCCUGGGGUAAUCCUCCCGCUGUGAGCGUGUUCACAUAACUCUUGCGACUCAACGCAUCGGCUACAACAUUUGCCUUGCCUGGGUGAUAAUGCAAUCUCAUGUCAUAGUCCUUGAUCAACUCUAACCAUCGCCUCUGUCUGAGGUUCAACUCCUUCUACGUGAAGAUAUAUUUCAGGCUCUUGCGAUUAGUGUAAACAUCACAACUAUUUCCGAUCAGGAAAUGACUCCAGGUCUUGAGAGCGUGCACUACGACUGCUAGUUCCAAGUCAUGUGUGGCAUAAUUCAACUCAUGAGGUCUGAGCUGUCUGGAUGCAUAGGCUACAACUUUGCCUUCUUGCAUGAGCACUCCUCCGAGUCCUUGACGAGAAGCGUCACAGUAAACCUGGAAAUCCUUCCGAAUGUUCGGCAAUAUCAGCACUGGGGCUGUAACAAGACGUUUCUUCAGCUCUUGAAAACUGGUUUCACAUUCCUCAGUCCAAAUAUACUUGGAUUCCUUCUUCAACAACUCUGUCAUGGGCUUGGCAAUCUUUGAGAAAUUCUCAAUGAACCUCCGGUAAUAUCCGGCAAGUCCGAGGAAACUGCGAAUCUCCUUGACUGAAGUGGGUGCUACCCAUUCGGUGACUGCUGCGACCUUGGCAGGGUCCACUGCUAUUCCUUCUCCUGAGAUGACGUGUCCGAGAAAUGCGACUUCCUUCAACCAAAACUCACAUUUGCUAAACUUUGCAUACAGCUUAUGCUCUCGAAGCUUCUCCAGAACUAGACACAGAUGUUCCUUGUGUUCCUCUUCGUUCUUGGAGAAUAUCAGUAUGUCAUCGAUGAACACUACGACAAACUUGUCCAAGUAUUCCAUAAAUACCUUGUUCAUCAGAUUCAUAAAAUAUGCCAGAGCAUUAGUCAGUCCAAAUGACAUGACCGUGUACUCAUACAAGCCGUACUGAGUGGUAAAGGCUGUCUUGGGUAUAUCUUGUUCACGAAUUUUCAACUGAUGAUACCUGGAUCGAAGAUCGGUCUUGGAGAAUAUUCGGGCUCCAACUAACUGAUCAAACAAAUCAUUCAUCAUCGGCAAGGGGUACUUGUUCUUGAUGGUCACAUCAUUCAAUGCACGAUAAUCGACAACCAUUCUGAAGGACUUGUCCUUCUUUUCAACCAAGAGCACUGGGGCUCCCCAAGGUGAAGAACUUGGGCGAAUAUACCCUUUGUCCAAUAACUCCUUAAUUUGCUUCUUGAUUUCUAUCAAGUCAUUUGCAGGCAUCCGAUAAGGUCUCUUGGAUAUAUCGGGGCUGUUCCGGGUAAUAGCUCAAUCAAGAACUCAAUCUCUCUAUCGGGUGGCAUGCCCGGCAAUUCCUCCGGAAAUACAUCUGGAUACUCCUGUACAAUCGGUACUUCCUCCUGGACUACUCCCGUGAGAGAGUUUACUCGCUUACUCCGUGUCGGGCGCUGAGACACGUAGUUAAUCCGCUUCUGCUCGGGGGUGGUGAGCAAAAUAGACUUAAGGGCACAAUCAAUAUUCCCUUCAUACUUGGCCAACCAAUCCAUGCCUAGGAUUACAUCCAAUCCCUGGGACUCUAAUACGAUGAGGUCGGUGGGAAAAUUAUGGUUCCCGAUGUUGAGACUCAAAGCAUGGCAUCCUAUCCCGGCUGUCAUCAUGCCUCCUGGGGAACUGACCUUAAUAGGUUGGCUGAGGGUUCUAGUUGGCAAACUAUACUUUUCCACAACUACCCUUGAUAUGAAUGAAUGUGUUGCACCAGAAUCAAAAAGUACCAAUACAGGACGUGAAUUUAGCAAAAACUUACCAACCACAGUAUCGGGGUGAUCAUAGACCUCUUCCACAUCAAUGUGGUUCACCUGAGCUCGGGGAAAAGGAUUGGGCUUCUUUGCUGCAGAGUUACCGUUGCCGUUGCCGUUUCCAUUUCCCUGCUUGUUCUGGGGACAAUCAGUGGCAUAGUGUCCCUUCUUCUGACACUUGAAGCAAGUGAUGUGAGUCAGAUCCUUCUGAGCUGGAGCUGAUUGCUGCUGAGUACCAGUACCGCCAUUCUUGAAGUUGCUGUUGUUGCGGUGGUUCCCAUUUCCUCCAUGGUUGUGGCCUCCAUGGUUGUGCACGGGGUGGUUAUGCUGAACGUGUCCUCCAAACUUACCGGAUCCNNNNNNNNNNNNNNNNNNNNNNNNNNNNNNNNNNNNNNNNNNNNNNNNNNNNNNNNNNNNNNNNNNNNNNNNNNNNNNNNNNNNNNNNNNNNNNNNNNNNAUGGGGAGGAGGGAGGCGUCUAUGCUAGGGUUUGGGCUGUGGGUGGGGUUUUUUUUUCUGUAAAUACAUGGAUGGAUGGAUGUGAGAUGGUGAGAUUGAUGGAUGGAUGGAUGGGUGCCAUGUCAUUGAUCCAUGGGAAGAGUUCUGAUUGGUUAGAAUAUGUUACAACAUUUUUGUAAUCGUCGUAAAAGUUAUGACGAUCUCAUCCUAUGCGGUUACGAUUAUUUUGACUCACAUCUUCGUAAUUUAUAUGUAGAUUUGAUCCCCACAAACGGUUUAUGAUGAUUUUGGAUGAAAUCGUCAUAGAUUUAUAACGAAUUCAUCAACGACAUCUGAAAAAACGUCAUGUAUGAGCAUAUUUCUUGUAGUGUAGUCAGACAACAAGAUAUCAAUUGUGAAUUGUCGUGUCAUCUACAAACUACCACUUUAACUUCAUCCCUUAGAAUCCUGACAAUACAACCCAUCAUUACUCUUAUAUACAAAGAAAUAUCCUAAGAAACUGAUUUCAUAAUGUCCAUCCAUGAUUUUAUAUAUAACACAAACAUUGUAGAAAAGGUACACAACAGAUAGAGCACCACGACCCAGAUAUGACUAGCAGCCAUAUGCCAACUUACAGGUGCGCGUCGAAGCGGGAGUCAAGCAGCGCCAGGAUGGCGGCGUCCUCUGGGUCAUCGUACAGGUGUGCGUCCGUGCCCAUCCGUCCCACCACCCACGACGUCGCCGCGCCGCUCGCGCGCAUCCGGAACAUCCCUCCCUCUAGGCUGCAAACAUAUAGCAGACGUGUAACGCAACAACAUCUGCUUCCAGUGGCACCAAGUAUAAACUUAAAAAACAUGUUCGAACGACCAACUAAGAAUUAGUGGAACAUGAGAGCACUGGCAGGUGUGGAGCUGGAGCCAAAGUCACUCUGAUGCACCAUUUAAAAAAAUUCAGCAGUAAAUAUAAGUGUGCUUCAUAACCUCUGCCAUAAACUAUUAAACAUAGUAGUAAAAGAUAAUAUGAAAAAAAUAAGAAAAGACAACAAUUAAAAGUGGGCACGGAGUUUUGGCUCCGAGGCACGUGUGCACUUGAUGAAUGUAAGAUCAGAACAAAAUAAGAAGUUCAAAACUUUCUGAAUUUCUUUUAUGACAAACAUUACUGAGUGUUUCACCAGGUUGCAAAGUUUCUUGGUGUUAUAGUGGAAAAAAGAAGUAAUUUAAAAAGCGACUAUCUUUGAAAGCAUUUUGGAGCACUAAAAUUUCUUUUGCCCAUGCCUUCAAGAAUGGCGCCCCAUCACGAAACUGUGCAAUUAGUUAAAGAAACUAAGGAAUGUUUGCUAUGAAAAAAUACGAAAUUUGAAAAAUGGCUCUAUUAAUUUUCGGAUGUUAGUCUUCAUCCUUGGUUGAUGUGUACCCAGGAUCUGAAUGACACAUUCACAAUUAAAAUGCUUUCUGUAGCGAUCAAAAAAAGAAAUUACACGGUAAAUAUGCCUCACAUUUUCAAAUCCGAACUGAUUUUUUAACAAAAUCAGGGAACUUCAAAGAACAGUUUUGGCACUAAUAAUAGAAUUGAGAAUUACAUAUGUUACUUUGUAAUGUUCCAUCUUAGCUUCUAUGGCGUGCUGCCAACAGGGCCCAAUGGCGCUCUACCCUAGAAACCUACACGGUACAGUUUUGUCCUAGACCCCUAGAGAAAAUUGUUGUUCGCUCGCUGCUUCAUUUUGUUUGGACCCUGAUGCACAUCAAUGAGUGAACCUGGUGCACAUGCAUGUUGUACAAACUAAGCGCUACUGAAAGAAGGAAUCGACCCUGAUGCCUGUGCAUCACGGUGCCUCCAUUCAGCUCCGCCCCCUAAGCACUGGUUCAUCUCAAAUAGAAAAAAAUAAGACAAGACUCCGAAGUAAUAGGAAAUGUAAUUCAGACCUAUCUCCAUUGCAGCCCAUAUUUCCAAGCCAAAGGGACAAAAGCAAACCCAUGAUUAUGUAAUUCAGACCUAUAAAGGCGCACAAAGAUCACAUGAUCCAGGCUAAGAAAGAAAUCGGGUGCUACUAUAGCUGUGAACUUUGCAUCAGUUGACAUAUUUUAUUAUGAACAGUCCAGUUUGUCCUACUUUCAAAUGCAAAUAUCUCUGUCACAGGAGAUGAGAUGGAGAUAAGUAAAAAUUGUGAACUUGAGGUGACAUAAUGUUAAAAUUGUGACUUGUAAAUUAACUGUUAAACAAGUAGGGGAUGCAUAAUAUUGGGGGUGAAAACAAAGAAGAAUCAGUCAAAUAUUCACAAAAUAGAGGCUAAAAGGGUAGGAGUUUCUUUGCCACCUCGGGAAAUAACUGUGCAUAUUUGCCACUAAUUAAUUCCUACUUAAAUUCGAAUAAACUAAUCAAGUAAGCCUGAUUAACAGAUGUACAUCCCGAAAUUUAUUUCCUAAAUCAUCUUACAUAACUUUGCCUUCCCAAGUCACAUAAGGCACAUUGCCAUCCAGAGUUAAUCACUGAACGAAAGUGUCGUCACGCCGCAGCAACACUAUAGAAUGCUAAGUUAUCAGUUUCCAAACUUCAAUUAAAUCUGAAAAGACUUAAUCAGAUCUCCUCCCAUGGGCCAACUAGGAGUAGAUCAUUUGCCUCCCAACAGCUUCGUUCUGCGGCUUCCUUGCCCUGGAAAGGAGAUGCGAGAGAGCGAAGAGAAUUGAACCUGGGCGAUGCUGAUGAUGAAGUCGCCAAACUUGGGGUGGACGGCUGCCUGACUCUUGAGGUGGUUGGCGAUAGGCUUGGACAGCGUCUGCAGCAGCAGCGUCCCCAGCUUCAUCACCAGCAACGCGACCAUGGCGGCGGCGGCUCGGCCAGGACCUCUUGGUCGCCAUGGAAGCAGAGGAGCAGACCCCUUCACCUCCACCUCCAGCAGCAUUAAAUAUUGCUGCAUUAACCCCUCCACGUCCAGGUUUUAACCUCCUGCAUGAAACACUAACAUAUAUUAUCUCGAGGGCCAUGAUAGAGGAGGGUCCUAACAAUUUUUGUUUCAGAUAGACAAAAACAAAAGGUCCAGUUUAACUCUGAGCAAGGAUAAAGCAGGAUUCAAGUACUCAACAUACAUAACAUAAUCUGAAAUCAUAUCUGCAUUUGGAUCAUAAGUAUUUAAGUGCCAAAAAUAAUUACCAGUUGGCAGCAUUAGCAAUCACGUUGCAUUGAAGACCUCCUUUUGAGUGCAACUGAGUGAUGUCUCCAACAAAUGUGAAAAAUCUGCUGGACUCAAAUCUGCCUCCAGUUUGUACAUGCCCUUUGCUCUUCUGACCAAAUACUCCUAAAGCAAGACUAUGUGAAGGUCCUAAAGCACUACACAUAUCAACUGCCUUCUUAAUAUCAUCAUCAUCCGUACAGAACGUGAUCCGACUGAAACCUACAGUCAGCAAGGGUGUCUAUUUGUUCUUCAACAUGUGGUUCACAACCAUGGCAGCCAUUCCGUCCUGCACAUUUCCUUCAUGGCUAGUCCGGCUAACCGAGCGUGAGAUGCAAACCUUCGCAGGAAGAUCCAAGAAAACAACAUGCACAUCAUCUUGUACGAUGCAACCAAGCUUCACAAAAUCAGAGCGCUGCUCUCUUUCCAAGUUGCAUCGGUCAAUGAGAAUGCUCUUUCCCUCCUUGAAAGCGUCUGCUGCGGCCUUCAAGCACUGUAUUUUGGUUCCAGCUUUGCCCUUUCCAAUUGUAUCCUAGAACACAAUAAAGACCCACACAAAAUCUUGUCACGGUUGCUGGAGUUUCCAUUGACGAUAUGGUUAUUAACAUUCAAGCCAAGUAAAAAAAUUGCACUACCCGAAUCACCCCAACUUACUCAUGGAAUAGGAUUUUGGUGUUUUGACUUUGAGGUGCUAUCAGCUUUCGCAUGCAGAGCCAUUUUUUGCAAGGUAAGUAUUAUUAUUACUAAUACCACGAGACCGAAACUACAGUUUCAAACUUGCGAUACAAUAACUAGUUGUGAAAAAUAUAAGCAAUUUCAGAGCCGAAUCAGAUGAGCCCGCAUUAAGCAUUAGGGAAUGCUUGUCUUGAGACCUCAAAUUCACAACGGAGACGAAAAGUACCACCACUCAGCACAUUAGCACGUAGCGAGAGUGGAGCGCGUGGGGCACACCUGGCAGACGCGGGCCCAUGGGCGACUGGCGGUGUCGCCGGCCAAGACGGCCUCGGUGAACGUGGACUUGCCGCCGCCCGGGGCGCUGACGAGGAUUAGCAGCACCUGCUUUUCGGCAUCCUCCUUAGUCUCCGCGCCCGCGCCUGCAAUGGUUAGAGACAACGGCGGGCUAGGGUUUUAGCGUCGACGGGUAGCACUGGUUCGACCGAUUAGAUGAGGAAAAGGGUCAAAAAUCACCUCGGGCUACUUUAGAAAUCGAUGGAGCGGCAGGGGAACCACCUUCGUCGGGAUCCAUUCGCGGACAAACUCCAGAGGAGAGGAACCGGGGGCCUCUCACCAGCGUCUAAUCCGCUAUGGCGGAAGGGAGUGGGUGACGGGAGGGCGGGGUUACCGGGGAAGAAGCUGCGGGCGGCGACGAGGCCGCGGCCCUUCCCUGGAACGGAGGCGACGGCGAGGCCGCAGCCGGCGAGCUCGCGCUGCAGCUGCUCCGCCUGCCUCCACCAUCGGCGGUGUCUUCUGGUUCGAUUCGGGGGGUGGAGAGGGCGAGCCAGCAAUGCCGAGAUCUGCUGCGACGCGACCCCCAGCAAGGUUGGCCGGCAAGCUACGCAGUGGUGGUGGUUGUGGGAUGCAUCAGGGAAGGAGGCAGGGGACAGCAAGGAGGUAGCGGCGGUGAUGAGAUGGGGGCGAGGGAGGGAGAGGCGAUGACGCGCAUUCUCUGGAUCGGGAGGUUGCGGCUAGGGUUCGCGCAAGAUAGAGGCAGAGGGAGAUGGGUUUGCUGUGGUGGGAUGGAUGGAUGGAUGGCCGGAUAUUUACCAUGUAAUCGAUCCAUGUCACAACUCAUUCCAUCAAUCAGACUUAAGCUUGGGCAAUUUUCUUUUUUCUUUUUUUCUUUUAUACUUUUCACCCUCUUAUUCAGGGUAAAGAUAUAAUAUAUUACCCUCUUACAGUUUGUUAAAGCUUACCAAUAUAAUGCACAUGUGUGUAUCUUGGGAUGACAAAAAUGUUGAUUUGGGUGGUUUCAUUUUCUUUGCACAAAAAAUACAUUUUUCAUUUUUCGAGUGCUCAAAAUAAGUUUUUUUGUGAAGGACCUACCAUAUACUUGUUGCAAAAUUGGAUCAAAUAGUUUUUAUAGAAUACUAGUCCAUAUUUAAUUUACAAAUGACAAAAUGGUUGGGGGUAAAAAUAUUUGAGCCACCUCUCGAAAAAAACAAAAAUUUCCGAGAAUUAUUUUUGAACUAUGGAGAGAAGGGUUUUCAUAUAUUUUAGGAAUAUAUGAUCCAAAGUAUUUAUGAGAAUUUUUCGACAAUUUUUGGAACGACAUAAUAGUAGGUUGCUUCACAAACUAGGCGGGUUUGACGCGUGACAUAGAAUGGACCCACGAGUGACAUGUCAACAUAGUUAGAACAUGUUACGACAUUGUUAUAAUCUCAUCUUAUGCGGUUACGACGUUUUUGACUCACAUCGUCAUAAUUUAUAUGUAGAUAUGAUCCCCUCAAACGGUUUACGACAAUCUCGGAUGAAAUCGUCAUAGAUUUAUGACGAAUUCAUCAACGACGUCUUCAAAAACGUCAUGUAUGAGCAUAUUUCUUGUAGUGGUCCAAUUUCUUACCGAAACAGAUACAUCUUUGUUUUCAAGGUCUAAAAUAGGCUGAUAAACAUCCCUUAUGUACUCCUGUGGAGUUAUGACAUUGAUGAUAUUAGUCUCAAUAUUUAUGGGAGUACCACAGAUGUAAUGCUUGAUUCUUUUCCCAUUUACCACUCUAGGAAAAUUUCCUUCCGUGUUAUUGAUUUUGAUGGCACCGGAACGAUAUACUUCCUCGACAACAUAGGGACCUUCCCAUUUAGAGAGAAGCUCGCCUACAAAGAAUCUCAAACGAGAAUUGUAUAGCAAGACAUAAUCACCUACAUUGAACUCUCGUUUCUGUAUUCGUUUGUCGUGCCAUCUCUUAACCUUUUCCUUGAACAACUUGGCAUUCUCAUAUGUCUGGGCUCUCCAUUCAUCUAACGAGCUGAUAUCAAACAACCGCUUCUCACCGGCAAGUUUGAAAUCAAAGUUGAGCUCUUUGAUUGCCCAAUAAGCUUUGUGUUCCAGCUCAAGAGGUAAAUGACAGGCCUUACCGUAAACCAUUUUAUACGGUGACAUGCCCAUGGGAUUCUUAUAAGCAGUCCUAUAAGCCCAUAGUGCAUCGUCAAGUUUGCUAGACCAGUUCUUUCGGAUCUAUUGACGGUCUUUUGUAGGAUCAACUUGAUCUCCCUAUUACUCAACUCAACAUGACCACUAGACUCAGGAUGAUAAGGAGAUGCAACUCUAUGGUUGAUAUCAUACUUAGCUAGCAUCUUGCGGAGAACACCAUGAAUGAAAUGUGAACCGCCAUUAGUCAUCAAGUAUCUAGGGACUCCAAAUCUUGGGAAUAUGACUUCUUUAAGCAUCUUAAUAGAGGUGUGGUGAUCAGAAUUUUUAGUGGGGAUAGCUUCUACCCACUUAGUAACGUAAUCCACAGCAACUAAGAUGUGAGUGUACCCAUUGGAACUCGGGAAGGGUCCCAUAUAAUCAAAGCCCCAGACAUCAAAUGGUUCAAUGACAAGUGAAUAGUUCAUAGGCAUUUCCUGACGCUUACUGAUGUUCCCUAUCCUUUGGCAUUCGUCACAAGACAAGACAAACUUACGGGCAUCCUUGAAGAGAGUGGGCCAAUAGAAACCUGAUUGCAAUACCUUAUGGGCAGUUCUAUCUCCAGCAUGGUGUCUUCCAUAGGCUUCAGAAUGACACUUCUUGAGGAUUUGUCCCUGUUCAUGUUCAGGCACACAACGUCUAAUAACACCAUCUACUCCUUCCUUAUAAAGGUGAGGAUCAUCCCAAAAGUAGUGUCUCAAAUCAAAGAAGAAUUUCUUAUUUUGCUGAUAGGUGAAACUGGGUGGUAUGUAUUUGGCUACGAUAUAGUUUGCAUAAUCGGCAUACCACGGUGCACUAUGUGAAGUGCGGAUGACAUUUAAUUGCUCAUCAGGAAAGCUGUCAUCAAUAGGUAGUGGGUCAUCAAGGACAUUCUCUAGCCUAGACAAGUUAUCUGCUACAGGGUUAUCAGCACCCUUUCGGUCAACGACGUGCAAAUCAAAUUCCUGUAGCAGGACAACCCAUCUGAUCAGCCUAGGCUUAGCGUCUUUCUUCUCCAUCAGGUGCUUAAUAGCAGCAUGAUCAGAGUGAAUAGUGACUUUGGAGUCAACUAUGUAAGAUCUGAACUUUUCACAUGCAAACACGACUGCUAAAAAUUCCUUCUCCGUAGUGGCAUAGUUUCUUUGGGCACUGUCUAGAGUUUUACUAGCGUAGUGAAUGACAUUCAACUUCUUGUCAACUCUUUGUCCUAGAACAACACCAACAGCGUAAUCACUAGCGUCACACAUGAUUUCAAAGGGCAAGUUCCAGUCAGGUGGUUGAACAAUAAGUGCAUCAAUUAAGAUUUUCUUACGUAUACCAAAGGCUUCUACACAAUAGUCAUCAAACCCAAAUGUUAUAUCUUUUUGAAGAAGACUAGUUAAUGGCCUAGAUAUCUUGGAGAAAUAUUUAGUAAAAUGCCUAUAGUAACCAUCAUGACCAAGAAAACUUCUUAUACCUUUAACAUAUUUAGUACAUGUCAUUUUGUCUAUUGCAUGAACUUCUUUGUCUACCUCAAUACAUAUGUAGGAAAUUUUAUGCCCAAGCACUAUGCCUUCAUUCACCAUAAAGUGGCACUUCUCUUAGUUCAAGACAAUGUUCGUUUCUUCACAUCUCUGCAAAACUCGAUCAAGGUUGCUCAAGCAAUCAUCAAAAGAAGUCUUGUAAACAGAAAAAUCAUCCAUGAAACCUUCAAUAAUCUUUUCACAAAAUUUAGAGAAUAUAUCAGUCAUACAUCAUUGAAAGGUAACACGUGCAUUGCAUAAACCAAAAGGUAUACGUAUAUAAGCAUAAGUUCAAAAGGGCAAGUGAAACUAGUUUUCUCUUGGUCCUCCUUUGACACAUGUAUUGAGAAAAACCGAAAUAUUGUAACAACCCUAUGUCAUGCUACAGGAAACUCAUGCUAAUGGUGCCAUGUCAUCAGAUUUAAUUCUGCUAAACUUCACUUUGAACCAAACCCAGUCCAACUCCACAUUUAAAAUAAAGUCAAAUUAUUAUUUCUUCAAACAUAAAAAAAUGUUCAUAAUGUUGCAAAUAAUCCCUCAGUAAUUGUGGGGUAGAAACCAUUAUUUUAUAAAGUGGUUAAGCAGAAAAAUACAAAGGUGAACAAGGGUCCGUGCACACCCACAUGAAUAGUAAAUUCAUAAAAAAUACUGGUUUUUUUUAAAACAUUCUGAAAUUUCACGAUAAGAAACUUAGUUGACCAUUCUAAUCACGUGGGAAGUUUCAUGGUGUAUUGACACCGAUGGUAUUUUUAGUGAAGAAAAUACAAUUGUGGCCAUACUGUUCAUCAAACUGUUUUAAUAAUAUAGAUUCGGUUUUGUCAUUUUUUUCCAGAUUACCACCGAUGUGAUUUCUUCGUGAAACUUCAUACACGAAUAUACUGAUUGAGUAUGUAUAUUACAAAAAUAAAUUCCAUUUUUUUGUUUUUUUAGCAAUUUAUGAAUUUAUUUUUCAAGCAGGGUGCGCUCGCACCAUGCUCACCAAAUCUGUGUCGGGUUAAGUGUCGUGAAAUAUUUAAAACAGAGGCCAAAACAAUAAAUUAAUUCCUUUUAAAAUUAUAAAAUUUAUAAGCUAUUUUAUUUAAAUGCCAAGCAUAUAUGCUUACUUGAUUUUGUAACAUGCUAUUGUUACCUACCUGCUUACCAUAUAUGCUUAGUAUAGGUUGGUUAGUGAUCCACUGGUGACACCUCACCUUGUUCAUGUUGCUCCCCCAUCAUCAUCAAUGACUCGAUCAGUGUGCUAAACAUCCUAAGCUUGACACAUCACCUCACACCCCCUUAUUUGUAUGACUCUUCAGAUCCACUAUCGAGUGCCGAAGUUGAUACUCAUAACGCACUCCUGAUGAUAACCCUAUCGUGUAGCUAGUCGGUCAUGGAUUUCAGAGGGUGAUUCCUCUUUCACCACCUCUGAUGAUGCCUCUGUCCUGCAGCCCCUCAAGUGUGAACCUAUCGAGGGUGAUUCCACCAAGUUCACCAUGACGAUUACAUCGACUGGGAAUCCAUCGAGGGUGAUUCCUCAGAUUUCCCCCUCGAUGAUAAGGACACAGUAUUACCUUUACCUAUUGUGCCUAUUACCGGUAUUGUGGGACUGAAGGAUAGGAGGUACCCCCCCCCGGAUGAGGUGGACCUGAGUUCCCGACCAUCUCUUGCGAGUCGGGUUGACCUGGAAGGUACUCGCGAGAUAAUUAGAAGGCAUAGUAGGGCAGGCAGUCCGUCCCAGGAGAGGGAUGGACCUAACCCUUGAUGAAGGUCCUCCAGACGGGGCGACAUGAUCACUCAUCGUUUCCUUGAGCUCCCAAGACACUAACGGAUUAGGAUAUGUGAUCUGAGUAGGCCUCUAGCCUUUUUCACACUAACCACCAUGCGGGAAUAACUAUGGGCCCUCUUCAUCUUACAUUCUCCCGAAAGCUCUUCAAAUGUCAUAGUGAGCGUCACUCGCUCGGGUGGCCCACGUAAGCACCUACUUUGGAUAAAGAGGUAGCUAGGACUGAUAUCAGUCAUCCUCGUAACACACACGACUGCAAAGGGCGAUGGGUCCAAGACCCCUAAGCACUUAGGAUUUAGACCGACGUGUUGUCCUCUCUGUUGAGCGUAGGUAGGACUAUGGUGUGCCGAUCAGACGAGGCCGAGCAUGACCCAGGAAAGUGUGUUCGACCGGAGUUAAUCGAGCUCGUUGGGUAAGUUGGUGAACCCCUCCAGGGAAUUAUAUGUUGGAAAUAUGCCCUAGAGGCAAUAAAUUGGUUAUUAUUAUAUUUCCUUGUUCAUGAUAAUCGUUUAUUAUCCAUGCUAGAAUUGUAUUGAUUGAAAACUCCAAUACAUGUGUGGAUACAUGGACAACACACUGUCCCUAGUGAGCCUCUAAUGGACUAGCUCGUUGAUUAAAGAUGGUCAAGGUUUCCUAGGAAUAGAAUUGAGAUGUGGUUUGAUAAAGGGAUCACAUCGUUAGGAGAAUAAUGUGAUGGACAAGACCCAAACUAUGAACGUAGUGUAUGAUCGUGUUAGUUUAUUGCUACUGUUUUCUGCAUGUCAAAGUAUAUGUUCCUAUGACCAUGAUAUCAUGCAACUCCCCAACACCGGAGGAGUGCCUUGUGUGUAUCAAANNNNNCAACGUAACUGGGUGACUAUAAAGGUGCUCUACAGGUAUGUCCGAAGAUGUGUGCUGGGUUGGCAUGGAUCAAGACUGGGAUUUGUCACUCCGUGUGACGGAGAGGUAACUCGGGGGCCACUCCAUAAUGCAACAUCACAACAAGCCUUGAAAGCAAUGUGACUAAAGAGUUAGUCACGUGAUCUUUUUAUCACGGAACAAGUAAAGAGAUUUAUCGGUAAUGAGAUUGAACUAGGUAUGGAGAUACAGACGAUCAAAUGUCGGGCAAGUAACAUACCCAUGGAAAAACGGAAUAGUAUACAUGAUUAACUGAAUCCUUGACAUGGAGGUUCUACCGAUAUAUAUCUUCGUAGAAUAUGUAGGAGGCAAUAUGGGAAUCCAGGUUAGGCUAUUAGUUAUUGAACGGAGAGUGUCUCGGCCAUGUGUGCAUAGUUCUCGAACCCGCAGGGUCUGCACACUUAAGGUUCGAUGAUGUUUCGGUAUUGUUGAGUUAUGUAUGUUGGUGACUGAAGGUUGUUUGGAGUCCUGGAUGACAUUCCGGACGUCAGAAGGUGUUCCGGAAUGGUGCAGAGACGAAUAUUGAUAUAUAGGAAGAGGGUAUUUGGACUCCGGAAUGGUUUCGGGCAUUUCUGGUAGUGUACCGAGAACGACGAAUGGGUUUUGGGGGAUCCAUCGGGAGAAGUCCACCCACCCCAGGGGCCACAUGGGCCUAAGAGGUGGCGCACCAGCCCUUAGUGGGCUGGGCAGCCAGCCCCAAAAUUCCCUUGCACCAAGGAGGUGGGAGGAGGCCAAGUUGGGAGGGAAUCCUACUAGGAGUAGGACUCCACCUCCCUUAGUGGAGGAGGAUUCCUCCUCUUGGUGCGCCACCCCUUCCCGUAUCCUCCUAUAUAUACUAGAGGGGGGAGAGGGCAGCCAACACACUAAUAUAAGGCACAACCCCUCUCCCUCCCUCUAG